GCCCGCCCGCUCCCGGUUCUCUGGGAGACACCGUCCGGCGACCGACACCGACACCGACACCAAGCAGAAGCCCAAAAGAAACAAACCCCUCGGCACCGGAGGAUGAGAAACCCCGCGCGCCCCAUAGCCCGGGGCCGGCCCCACACCCCCAGGGCACUGCCAGGGGAAGAUCGCGGCACCGGACGCCUGGCGAAGCAGCAGCAGCACGGCUCAGGGACAGCCCCGCGCCCCGGCUCCGGCGCUGACGUUACCCGCUCCCGGCGUCUGCGGCUUCUGGACCCAGGAACCGCAGCCGGGUAUCAGCGCUGUGGGGAGAAGAGUCGGGGGCUCAGUGGGGCGGGGGUGGCGGUGACACGGGGACACGGGGACGGCGCUACCUGCGCCGGGGGGGGAUGCGCACGGACGCAUGCACGGCUCGGCUGACUGCGUGGGACGGGGCCAUCCCAAAGAGACGCAGCGUGUGCCCCGCACGGGGACGCGAGCUCGAGUGAUCCCAAAUGCACAGGUCCUGCCUGGGGACGGGGACAGGUCCUGCAUGGGAAUGGGAACAGGUCCUGCCUGGGGACGGGGACAGGUCCUGCUUGAGGACAGGUCCUGCCUGGGGACUGGGACAGGUCCUGCUCGGGGAGAGGCCCCACUUGGGGAUGGGAACAGGUCCUGCUUGGGGACAGGUCCUGCUUGGGGAUGGGAUGGGGACAGGUCCUGCUCGGGGAUGGGUCCUGCUUGGGGACGGGUCCUGCCUGGGGAUGGGGACAGGUCCCACUUGGAGGCAGGUCCUGCUCCAGGAUGGGUCCUACUUGGGGACAGGAUGGGGACAGGUCCUGUUCGGGGAUGGGUCCUGCUUGGGGACGGGGACAGGUCCUGCUUGGGGAUGGGG
rnacentral:lncRNA from 1 species